GAGGGUAUGGCUCAGUGGUAGAGCCUAUGCCUAGCAUGCACAAAGUCCUAGGUUCAAUCCUCAGUUCCUCCA
rnacentral:tRNA from 1 species